UGAGUUUGAUUAUGGCUCAGGAUGAACGCUAGCGGGAGGCCUAACACAUGCAAGCCGAGCGGGAUUUGUUGGUUAGCUUGCUAACUAAUAAUGAGAGCGGCGUACGGGUGCGUAACACGUGUGCAACCUGCCUUUAUCUGGGGGAUAGCCUUUCGAAAGGAAGAUUAAUACCCCAUAAUAUAUUAAUUGGCAUCAAUUGAUAUUGAAAGCUCCGGCGGAUAGAGAUGGGCACGCGUAAGAUUAGCUAGUUGGUGAGGUAACGGCUCACCAAGGCUGCGAUCUUUAGGGGGCCUGAGAGGGUGAUCCCCCACACUGGUACUGAGACACGGACCAGACUCCUACGGGAGGCAGCAGUGAGGAAUAUUGGACAAUGGGUGAGAGCCUGAUCCAGCCAUCCCGCGUGAAGGACUAAGGACCUAUGGUUUGUAAACUUCUUUUAUACAGGGAUAAACCUACUUCUUCGUGAGGGUAAGGUGAAAGGU
rnacentral:rRNA from 1 species